GGACAGGUGUCCCACAUCUCCCAGCAACCAGCUCAAUCAUGGAUUGGGAGCAAACUGAGAGUAAAGUAGUGAUGGAUUUCAGAACACAGAAGCUGGGGCCAGAGGUGAGGAUGCAGCAGGUCAUGCUACUGGAGGCGACCUACAUUUCAGAAGCCAACAAACGAUAACAGAGGCAGGGAAACGGGUGGAAGAGAAAGAAGAGUGGCUUCAAGAUGGCUUCAGGUGCAGUUUUCCUCAAGUGAUUCAGAUACGACAGAGAGUUCCAAAUGAACUUGAUCUUAAACUGAGAGAUAUGCUUGUUGUUUCAGUGCAGUAUUCUGAAAGCUUACCUAAUGGGAAACACCACGCUCAUUCAUUUACUCACCCAUGUUCACAGAACAUCCAUUGUGAGUGUGUAAAACAAAUUAUUGGGAAUGGUGGAGUGUGCAAAGAAACAGGAAGUGAUACCUGCCCUCAAGGCAUUUUCAGUCUAUUUGAGAAUUCAAGAUCUUCCCAAGAGUUAAGUAAUAAUGAGACUGUCGAUGAGAAUAGGGGUUGUGUUAUUUAUCUAUUGAUGCAAAAUAAAUUACCCCUCCAAACCUAGUGUUUUAAAACAAUAGACUUUUACUGUGCUGCCUGGUUUCUGUGGCAUCCAGGAGUGUCUUAGUUGGGUGGUUUGAGCCCAGGGUCUCUUACGAGGUUGCAGUCAAGAUGGCAGCCAGGGCUGUAGUCCUCUGAAACUUUGACUGGUGCUGGAGGCUCCGCUUCCUCGUGGUUUGUGGCCAUUGGCAGGAGGUCUCAGUUUUUUACCCUGUGGAUAAACAGAUUUGGACCUUCAAGUACGGUUAAGAUUUGGUUGGAGAAAGAAGAAAAUUCUAGGCAUGUGAGGUGUAAUCCCAAAAGAAGAAGAAAGAGGAAAAGGAAAAGAGAAAGGUAAGAAACCAUGAGUUCUACUCAGUAAAAUCAUAUACAAGUGAGUCAGUCUGACUGGAGAAGAGUUUUAUGUAAGGGAAAUGGUGGUACUUUAGUCUGAAAAAUUAGGUUAUAGGUGUAUUAUGGAGGGUCUUAAAAGACUUGCUAAGGAGUUUGGACUUCAAGCUACAGGCAAUGGUGAAUCACUCAAGGUUUUUUCCUUUUUUUAAUUUUCCUUCCUUCCUUCCUCCCUCCCUCCCUCCUUCCCUCCCUCUCUACCUUUCUCUUUCUUUCUUGCUUGCUUUCUUCCUUUCUUCUUUCCUUCAGAAGCUUGUAACUGCAUUUAUUUAUUUUUAUAAUAUUAAUUGAAGAAUAAGUUACAUACAGUAAAAUGCACAAACCUCAGUAAAUUUGUACUCACACAAAUAUACACAGCCAGAGUAAGCAAUAGAACAAUUCCAGCAUGAAGCUUCCCCUCGUGCCUCUACCCAGUCAACACCUUCCCCUAGAAGUAACUACUAUUCUCACGUCUAUCACUAUAGAGUAACUUGUUCUUAAACUUAAAAACAUGGUAUCAUACUGUACGUAGUCUUUUAUGUCUAGUUCCUUUCACUCAUCAUUGCCUGUGAGAUUCAUCCAUGUUGUUGCAUUUAACAGUAUUUACUGCUGUGCUGUAGCUUAUUAUAUGAAUGCACAUCUUAUUUAUCCUUUCUGCUAUUGAUGAAUGCACUUAAGGUUUUUUAAUCUGAGGAAUGGAUGGGUGACAAGAGGUAAGAAAAACCCACAUGUUAUUGGGUAAAUGAAUGAGUAAACUCCAGGUUGAUUGAGUAGGUAGAGCAGGGUUUCUAAACUUUAGGGUACACAAGCACCAAGUGUGUGUGUGUGUGUGUGUGUGUGUGUUAAAAAUUCAGUGUGUGCCAACCCCAGAGAUUCUGAAACAGGAAGUCUGGGGCCUGGUGAUUCUAGGAUUUUCUUAGAGGUGAUCUUUGGGCCACGCUUUGAGAAACACUGAGGUAGUACUUGGAAUUUAGGAGACAGGAAUUGAACAUUCUCAUUAGUUUUCUUGCUGACAUAUGGUCAUGAUUGCCUGAACUAAGAUGCUGGCUGUGGAAAUGGAAAGGAGGGGAUGGAUAUCAGAUGAGAAAUAUUGUUGACGGAUUGGCAAUGGGGAUUGAGGGAGACAGAUGAGUCUAAAAUGAUUCUGAGGUGUCACACUUGGGUGACUGAAGAAAAGGUAUCAUUGUUUACAGAAACAGGGAAGUCAUGCUAAGGAGCUUAUAUUUUAUGGAGCUGAUGGGUUCAGAGCAUCCCUGUUGUUUGAGAAAAUGAUGUAAACCUGUGAUGAUCCCUGUGUGGUAAUUGAGGAAGCUGUGCUGAGGUGGUUGCUAUUUCUGAUCACACUGCUGCUAUCUUGUCGACCUUGCUGUCAAGAUCAUAACACCAUGCUUCUGAGAGGUACCCCCCCACUGUCCUUCUGGUCCCCUCUCUGCUGCUAAUCAAACCAACCCAGAAAGGAAGCUACAUAUCACUUCAACAUUUCCAGUCAGAUUCUAAGACCUCUUUUGAUGUUAACUAGAGAUGGUUCUGAGGAUCCCUCUACUUUAAAAACUCAAAGAUUUAAAAAUCUUUUUCAAAUGUAGGAAAAGUGCAUCUGGCUGUUCUGUAAUGUCCUGCUUGCUUUUGCCUUCAGUUAAUUCGUAGGAUCACAGGUUGCACGCACUCCUUCACUUAUCCCCUCCUCUUACCAGUCUUUUCUUCUUCUCUAGGAUAUAUGAAGCCAGUUCCAUUAGUCUUUCUAUAUAGAUCCAAUUUCCCAAACCUUUAAUCAUUUUUUUGUGCCUCUCAUCUGGAAAUAUGUGAUUACAUGCUUGGCUAAGAGAAGCAUUCGUUUUUUCAAUGCUGUGUUGGCAUUGUUGGAAUAAAUGGGGGAGCAGGAUCUACAGGUUUAGCUCAUUCUCACCCUGGACAUGUUCCUUAAAAAUGUGAGUUAAAUCAUCAUUUUGGGUAAAAUUGAACUGUACUUUUCCCUUUCAUUCAAUUACAAUUUCAGCAAUGCUUUCAAUUUAAAUCUUAAAAUGGGUUCCAACUUCCAACUUCUAACACUUCUAAGUAUGUUCUUCUUUCUAAAUUGUCAGUGGCCACAACUGUCCUUCCUCCCCACCCCACCCCCCAAAAACCAAAACCAAUAAAAAUACAUAGUAAAA